CACUCCUGCGGGAGGCAGCAGUGGGGAAUUUUGGACAAUGGGCGAAAGCCUGAUCCAGCAAUGCCGCGUGCAGGAUGAAGGCCUUCGGGUUGUAAACUGCUUUUGUACGGAACGAAAAAGCUCCUUCUAAUACAGGGGGCCCAUGACGGUACCGUAAGAAUAAGCACCGGCUAACUACGUGCCAGCAGCCGCGGUAAUACGUAGGGUGCGAGCGUUAAUCGGAAUUACUGGGCGUAAAGCGUGCGCAGGCGGUUAUGUAAGACAGAUGUGAAAUCCCCGGGCUCAACCUGGGAACUGCAUUUGUGACUGCAUGGCUAGAGUACGGUAGAGGGGGAUGGAAUUCCGCGUGGAGCAGUGAAAUGCGUAGAUAUGCGGAGGAACACCGAUGGCGAAGGCAAUCCCCUGGACCUGUACUGACGCUCAUGCACGAAAGCGUGGGGAGCAAACAGGAUUAGAAACCCGGGUAGUCCC
rnacentral:rRNA from 1 species